rnacentral:rRNA from 1 species
GACGAACGCUGGCGGCGUGCUUAACACAUGCAAGUCGAACGGAAAGGCCCUGCUUUUGUGGGGUGCUCGAGUGGCGAACGGGUGAGUAACACGUGAGUAACCUGCCCUUGACUUUGGGAUAACUUCAGGAAACUGGGGCUAAUACCGGAUAGGAGCUCCUGCUGCAUGGUGGGGGUUGGAAAGUUUCGGCGGUUGGGGAUGGACUCGCGGCUUAUCAGCUUGUUGGUGGGGUAGUGGCUUACCAAGGCUUUGACGGGUAGCCGGCCUGAGAGGGUGACCGGCCACAUUGGGACUGAGAUACGGCCCAGACUCCUACGGGAGGCAGCAGUGGGGAAUAUUGAACAAUGGGCGGAAGCCUGAUGCAGCAACGCCGCGUGCGGGAUGACGGCCAUCGGGUUGUAAACCGCUUUCACCUGUGACGAAGCGUGAGUGACGGUAAUGGGUAAAGAAGCACCGGCUAACUACGUG